ACUUACAACCAAUUUUAUUCACAAAAAACCCCUGAAGCCUCUGACGCAAGACUCCCCAGAUUGCUUCUCUGCGUCGUGCGCCGCCGCCGCCGCCGCUGUCGUGUGCCUCCGAUAUCUGUCGACUUGAUCCUGACGUCUGCCGGCACCCACCAGAUGCAGAUGCAGUGACAACAACGGAUGAGCGACUAGCAAGUAGUACAACAUCUCUUUCAACCAGCAACACGAGGGCAUCAAAAGUUUGAGCAAUAUGGAUCCAAUCAACAACGUUCAAAUGCAUAUGAGCCAUGGGGGAUUUAAUACACCCAAAAAGAAUACAGACAUGGCAGACAUACCUCUCUUUUCUUCGUCUUUUAUACCUGAAUGUGAUGAGCAGUUGAAGCCUAAAGUGGGUAUGACAUUUAAAGGACUAGAGGCAAUGGAGAAGUUCUACAAGGCAUAUGCACAUGAAUCAGGUUUUGGUGUUCGUAUCGGACAGCAGAAAAAGAUUGAGAAUAAGGUGGUCCGGACUAAGCGUUUCAUGUGUAAUAGGGAAGGAUUCAAGUCAAAAGAUUGUAAGGAGAUAGAUGACCCCUUGAAGAAAAUGCGUAAGCAGACAAAUACGCGAUGCGGUUGUGAUGCCCAUAUCUUCGUUAGACUUUGUGGAGACAACACCUACAAGAUAGACUCAUGGGUUGAGCACCACAUUCAUGGUCUUGUAUCGCCUAAUAAGCGUCAUUUGAUUAGAUCGAAUCGUAGAGUUAGUGAGAGAGCAAAGAAUACUUUAUACACAUGUCAUAAGGCAAGCAUUGGAACCUCCCAGGCAUACAGGCUGCUGCAAGUCAGUGAGGGUGGAAUUCCUUAUGUUGGGUGCACAAAGAGGGACUUGCAGAAUUACUACCAGGCUCUCAGGUAUAAAAUCAGAGACGCGGAUGCUCAAAUGUUUGUUGCCCAAUUAGCUAGAAAGCAGGAAGUGAAUUCAGCAUUUUUCUAUGAUUUUGAAGUGAAUGAUGAAGGGAAGCUAGUGCGUGUGUUCUGAGCGGAUGCCACAAGCAGGAAGAACUAUAGUCACUAUAGGCAUGGACUUCUUGACAUUAAGUGUGAUGAACAUUGAGGCACCUUUGGAGCAGAUGAUCCCUGCAGCCGCCCAAAGCACUAGGCAAGAGGAGUAUGAGGCUUUUAUUGGUUGCAACAUUCCCGCCGAAGUUCAUAUACAUCCGCCGACUGAUGUUCGUACCGUGGGGAGAUGCAAAAGAAUAAAGCGAGGAAAGGAGAUCAAGGAGGGGGUCGAAAAAGUAAGGACAAACAAGGGAAGGUAAAGGUUGCACGCUUGUGCAAGACGUGCAAGCAACACGUGUUUCAUGAUAGUCGUAAUUGUCCAAGCAAAAAAGGAAAUGGGAGUGUGAUUCUGCAAGAUAUGCAGCUAAAUGGUGAUUGCUGAUACAGUCCAAGCAGAGAAUGAUUUUAUCUAUGUUAUAUUCAUGUAAUGAACGAGAAUUUGCAUUGUGUCGAAUUAAACUUGACUUGAUUUCUGACAAGUUUGAUGCUUGUCAAAUUCCUAAAGAAUAAAGAACAUAUUCAGACUUUU